AGCCUCUGCUGGUGAUACCCAAGCAAACAGGGUCUGGAGUGGACCUCCAGCAAACUCCAGCACACCUGCAGCAGAGGGGCCUGACUGUUAGAAGGAAAACGAACAAACAGAAAGGAAUAGCAUCAACAUCAACAAAAAGGACAUCCACACAAAAACCCCAUCUGAAGGUCACCAGCAUCAAAGACAAAGGGGGAAAUCAAGUUCCUGUUAAUCUUCUUUCAAGGCAUAAAGAAUGAAGAGAAAAACAGUCUUCCUAAGACGUUAAAAUUUUAAAUCGUAUUUAGUAGGUUCUACUGUAUUUGAAAUGCCAUAUUCUCCCUUCCCACACUUCACUUGAAGUUAGGAAAUAGAUU
rnacentral:lncRNA from 1 species